rnacentral:rRNA from 1 species
GCUAGUUGGUGAGGUAAGGGCUCACCAAGGCGACGAUCAGUAGCCGGCCUGAGAGGGUGAACGGCCACACUGGAACUGAGACACGGUCCAGACUCCUACGGGAGGCAGCAGUGGGGAAUAUUGCACAAUGGAGGGAACUCUGAUGCAGCGACGCCGCGUGAGUGAAGAAGGUCUUCGGAUCGUAAAACUCUGUCCUUGGUGAAGAAAAGGACGGUAGCCAAGGAGGAAGCCCCGGCUAACUACGUGCCAGCAGCCGCGGUAAUACGUAGGGGGCGAGCGUUGUCCGGAUUUACUGGGCGUAAAGGGUGAGUAGGCGGUUAUAUAUGUCAGGUGUAAAAAGCUAUGGCUUAACCAUAGUAAGCACUUGAAACUGUAUGACUUGAGUGCAGGAGAGGUAAGCGGAAUUCCUAGUGUAGCGGUGAAAUGCGUAGAUAUUAGGAGGAACACCGGUGGCGAAGGCGGCUUACUGGACUGUAACUGACGCUGAGUCACGAAAGCGUGGGUAGCAAACAGGAUUAGAUACCCUGGUAGUCCACGCUGUAAACGAUGAGUGCUAGGUGUUGGGUAGCGAUAUUCAGUGCCGGAGUAAACACAAUA